rnacentral:lncRNA from 1 species
GGCCAGGACCUCCCCAAGCCCUCUUCAUACUUAUCUGUUCCUUACUGCCCUCUCGUCUCCAAUUCCACAUUUCUCCGUUGUACAAACUCCCCGGCUUUGCUUUCUCUUUCACCUCUCCAUCAUGCACUCCAUCUUUUCCAUCCAUUCAUCCACCAUAGUGUGCCUGCCACAGGAGCAUGGUUGUCUUCCAGCUGCUACAGGGGGGAAAAAAAGGAAAGAAAAAGAAAAGAGUUCAAAAGAAGAAGUUCUGUUUUGAAAAUCCACAAGCCUAGUUUCAGACCUACAGUUCCUGUAAUUCCUCUUUGUGAGCCACCUUUGACAGGUUCAGUCCGUUAUCAUCAUGGUGGGAAACAUAGUAUCAUCCAGGCAGGCUUGGUGCUGAAGAAGGAACUGAACAUUCUUCUACAUCUUGAUCUGAAGGCAUUUAGGAGGAGAGUCCCUUCUGAAUUGGAUGGAGCUUGAGCAUAGGAGCCUGAAGCCCACCCCCAGAGUGACACACUUCCUCCAACAAGACCAUACUUACUCCAAUCAGGCCACACCUCCUAAUAAUGCAACACCCUGGGCCAAGCAUAUUCAAACUACCACAAGCUCUUAGGAUUCAGCUCUGUCAAGAACUCUUUUGUCCAGAAAAGAGAAAAGCCACACUAAGUGAUGGAAUGAGAGUUAGAAAUGUCUGGCCUUUGGCCCUACCUGAGGAGAUUACUGCGAUGUUGUUUCAGCCUUGGUAUACCUGUAAGCAUCAUGGUGA